GUCCCACUGGCACCUUCCCUUGUAUCAUCAUUUAGUUGGUGAUCCGUGUUCCUAAUCUUUCUGGAAUUCGAUACUAAUUAACCUUGUUUCUAUAAAUAAUUUUGGCAAUGCCAUUACGACGGAAAAGCCUGUCAAACAUUAACAUAUGUUAAAUGUCACUGAAACAAUUCGCUUACUCAGUUCAAAAAGUAAUUUAUUGUUUCGGGAAAGGAAGUACGGCACCUAUGGUCAAUCCUGUCUGAUUCACAUAAUUGGCAUUACUGUAACAUUAGUACUUCUAACAUGUUGUUGUUGAAAACAGAUUCUGAAGAAAAUGCAUAUAUCAUCACGUUUAAAGAGAAACACUGAGGAUAUUCCACAUGUGAAAUCUUUGAAAAUAUAAAGCACACAGGUAGCUUUUUCCAACGAAACAUUUGAUGAUAAGGACACA
rnacentral:lncRNA from 1 species